rnacentral:misc_RNA from 1 species
AAGUCAUAACAAGGUUUCUGUAGGUGAACCUGCAGAAGGAUCAAUUGAUUGAAAUUGCUAAAAAUGGGGAAGUCGCUUUCGACACUCCUCUACAUUCUUUAUUCCUAAACACCUGUGAAUCGUUGCUGAGUUCGCUCAGUGGCACCAAUUUAUACACACUUUAUAGUUUUGAACGUAAAAACAAAAAACAAAAAUAUAA